rnacentral:tRNA from 1 species
GCCCCCAUCGUCUAGUGGCUCAGGACAUCUCUCUUUCAAGGAGGCAGCGGGGAUUCGAUUUCCCCUGGGGGUG